rnacentral:misc_RNA from 1 species
GAAAUGCGAUAAGUAAUGUGAAUUGCAGAAUUCAGUGAAUCAUCGAAUCUUUGAACGCAACUUGCGCUCUCUGGUAUUCCGGAGAGCAUGCCUGUUUGAGUGUCAUGAUCUCUCAACCAAUAGGGUUUCUUAUUGGCUUGGAUCUGGGUGUUGCCAGCUUUGUCUGGCUCGCCUUAAAGGAGUUAGCGAGUAAAGCUCUGUCGUCUGGCGUAAUAAGUUUCGCUGGUGUAGACAUGUGUGGCGCACGCUUAUAAUCGCCCUCGGGCAAUUUUUGACUCUGGCCUCAAAUCAGGUAGGACUACCCGCUGAACUUAA